UACGUAGGGGGCUAGCGUUGUCCGGAAUCAUUGGGCGUAAAGAGCGUGUAGGCGGUCCGGUAAGUCCGCUGUGAAAGUCGGGGGCUCAACCCUCGAAUGCCGGUGGAUACUGUCGGGCUAGAGUGCGGAAGAGGCGAGUGGAAUUCCGUGGUGUAGCGGUGAAAUGCGCAGAGUAUCAGGAGGAACACCGGUGGCGAAGGCGGGGUCGCUGGGACGUUACUGACGCUGGAGACGGCGAAAGCGUGGGGAGCAAACAGG
rnacentral:rRNA from 1 species